CCUACGGGAGACAGCAGUGAGGAAUAUUGGUCAAUGGGCGCUAGCCUGAACCAGCCAAGUAGCGUGAAGGAUGACUGCCCUAUGGGUUGUAAACUUCUUUUAUAUGGGAAUAAAGUGCAGCACGUGUACUUCUUUGUAUGUACUUUAUGAAUAAGGAUCGGCUAACUCCGUGCCAGCAGCCGCGGUAAUACGGAGGAUCCGAGCGUUAUCCGGAUUUAUUGGGUUUAAAGGGAGCGUAGAUGGGUGGUUAAGUCAGUUGUGAAAGUUUGCGGCUCAACCGUAAAAUUGCAAUUGAUACUGGCAGCCUGGAGUACAGUUGAGGUAGGCGGAAUUCGUGGUGUAGCGGUGAAAUGCUUAGAUAUCACGAAGAACUCCGAUUGCGAAGGCAGCCUACUAAACUGUAACUGACAUUGAUGCUCGAAAGUGUGGGUAUCAAACAGGAUUAGAUACCCGGGUAGUC
rnacentral:rRNA from 1 species